ACGGAAGGCAGCAGUGGGGAAUAUUGGACAAUGGGCGAAGGCCUGAUCCAGCGACGCCGCGUGAACGAUGAAGUAUUUCGGUAUGUAAAGUUCUAUCAGCAGGGAAGAUAAUGACGGUACCUGACUAAGAAGCACCGGCUAAAUACGUGCCAGCAGCCGCGGUAAUACGUAUGGUGCAAGCGUUAUCCGGAUUUACUGGGUGUAAAGGGAGCGUAGGCGGCUUUGCAAGUCUGAUGUGAAAGCCCGGGGCUCAACUCCGGUAUUGCAUUGGAAACUGUAGAGCUAGAGUGUCGGAGGGGUAAGUGGAAUUCCUAGUGUAGCGGUGAAAUGCGUAGAUAUUAGGAGGAACACCAGUGGCGAAGGCGGCUUACUGGACGAUUACUGACGCUGAGGCUCGAAAGCGUGGGGAGCAAACAGGAUUAGAUACCCUGGUA
rnacentral:rRNA from 1 species